UAGACAGAUUAUUGUAUUCGAUUGUAUUCACGGCGUGAAACAGGGGAUUACACUGUUUCUAAACAGAAAGUGAAUCAAUUAACAUAAUAUAGACUCCU
rfam:Nicotiana attenuata strain TT chromosome 3, whole genome shotgun sequence.